GAUGAAAGAGAGCGGCAGGAGGAAGACAUGCAAGUAGUGGUGCAGCAGGGGAGGAGCAAUACAAGGGAUGGCGACAGGCAAACGGGUGGUGAAGACGUACGCCACAGUGGCGUUACUGAGGCAUAGCCCAGAGAAAUUCGGAUUCAAAGCCACUAAUAUAGAGGAACGGCAUCAGGGGAGCAUUAUACACACGGCGCUUAAUGAUGGGUGUGCGGCUGAUUAGAUAGUUGGCGAGGUAACGGCCCACCAAGUCUACGAUCAGUAGCUGAUGUGAGAGCAUGAUCAGCCACACGGGCACUCACACUCGGGCCCGACUCCUACGGGAGGCAGCAGUAAGGAAUAUUGGUCAAUGGAGUACAGUCUGAACCAGCCAUGCCGCGUGAAGGAUUAAGGUCCUCUGGAUUGUAAACUUCUUUUAUUUGGGACGAAAAAGGGCCUUUCUAGGUCAACUGACGGUACCAGAUGAAUAAGCACCGGCUAACUCCGUGCCAGCAGCCGCAGUAACAC
rnacentral:rRNA from 1 species